GCAAGGAAGCAAGGAGGAAGCAGGCAGCAGACCCUCUGCCCAGACCAGACCAUCCAGAACAGCCAUUGCUAGAUUUGAAGAUGUCAGCUUGCAGGAAGGGAAGGGCAGGAGAGGAUCUCUACCAACAUCAGAGAGACCCCCUACACUGAUAGAAGGACAGUGGGGUGUCUUCACCCGAAAUCGCUGAAGAUUCUGCAGUUGUUUAUGCAUGCUUUCAUCAAGCUGCUUGAAAUCCCAGUUAACAGAAGACAGUGUGCAGGUACAAGCUCAUGGGCUUAUUCGUCUUAGGACUGGUGCCAAGUUGAACACUCAAUCCAGCACUGCUAGAUGCAGUGGGGUGCCUGUGAGCUUGGAUGGCCCAAGCUAAGCAACUACCAUUCUCUUUAGGGCCAGAAUCAGCUGACCAGACCACUGAGGACAGCAGCAUGGGUGGAUCCUCUGGAUUCAUCCACUAGGAAGACUGUAAGGAGGCCAUUGCCAUAUAUUGAGAGUGUUUUGGACAUGACUCCACUUGGGGUUGUGUUGCACUGGAACUAGCAGUCAGGAGGACAAAGGGACUUUUUCCAUGAGAGGAUUUGGUCCAAGUCUCACUCCCUUAUCCAGACUUCCUCCCCACUGCUCACAGAUAUAUCACCAGCAGAAUCUAUUCACCUUUGGUUCACCUUUUGGCCAGCUGUCCAGAAGAAACAAGAUGCAACUAUUCUAGCCUCAUUCUCUUCAUGUAGAUAAGGGGGGCGGAGGGAGAGUUGGGCAGCUAAGAAACCUCCCAGUGUAGCAUUUCUUUCCUAGCCCAAAUUCCAACAUUCUGAGACCUUGCAAGAAGGCCUUUUCCUGCUUGGUUUAAUAUUGCAUUAAAUAUUCAGACAAAGGCUGCUUACAUAAACAGUGUUUGCUCCAGGCUGAGCUUCUAAUGUAAAAUUAAACUACAAUAAAUGACUGCAAAAUG